rnacentral:lncRNA from 1 species
ACACGAGGAGGCUUCAGAGCUUGCAAAGCUAACCAACAUGGUGAGAUCACAAAAAGUCAAACACUGAAUAUCAGCAUGAGAGUUCAACCAGGUAUGACUCUAUCACUCUGAUUUUGCGUAUGUCCUUUUGACACGUCACAGCAUGACAACACACACUGAGGCAAGUUGUUUGUUUAGCCAGGGCCUUUCUAGUCAUCCCUAUCUGUAUGUUUCCCUUCGUGAACCCCGUUGAGCCAUAGCCUUUUGUUCAUCAUAAACCCAUGUUAACCAUUAAUCAUUCAUUCCUUCCAUCACUCGACAUGAUUGUUGUGAGUUGCAAGAUGUGCAUAAAGCUAAGUUUGGGGUAGUAAUCUAGAAAGAUAAGGCAAAUGCAUAAUAAGAGAUCAUACAAAAAGAAAAGAAUUGUGUAUGUCCAAAAAGAAAAAAAAAGAAAAAAAAAGAAAAAAAAAAGAGAAAAAAUGCACUUGCCGAGACUUAAGACUCUAACACCUAUAAAAUGCUCGAAAAAUUUGAGUAGAAAAAGAGUCAAAAUAGUGAAAUUAACCCCCAGAGUAUACGUGAUGCACGAGAAAAGGAGAAAG